UUGCUUCCAUGCUGCUUUUGGCGUCGUCGUUCCACACAGGACGUCUAAGCAGUGGACCGACUUGCCGCAUGGUUUGAAUGGCGUUCCAACACACAUGAUGGUUUUGGCACGGGCCGUGCGAGGUAAGCGGCGGGAGCAUGACGACGCCAAGCACAAGGAGGAUGCGUGCGACGGGCAGGCAGUCCGGGGGAACUCUCGCCCAGCAAAACAAGCACCGUCAGGGCACCGUUUCGCUCCGAAGAAGCCAAGGGACUUCCGAGCGCAAUUUUAGCAUCCUUUCGAUCGUUGCGAGUCGUUUACAUCGGACCUGCCGUACAAGGAAGAGCCCAGACUGAAAAAAAGGGAUUGGAGCACCACAACAGCAACGAACGAACGAGCAGCAAAAACCUGAAAUCUCUGCCCAUCACCUUGACUGGUGUUGGCAACGACCGUCUAAGCAACGACGAACCCCUCGGGAUCGGGUCGUCACGGCUGGCUUUGGUUUAAUCGUUUCGCUAAAAGACGCUGGCGCUACAUCCGCCAUGAUGCCGCAAGGAUGAUGAAGUUCUUUUCGAUGCUGUUGGCUGGUGAGCAGCUUAUCCUCCGCACGCAUCCAUUUAUCGAUCCGUGUGGAUCACACGGCUGUGCGGCCUCGCAACGCUACUAACUAACGACCUUAAUGGGCCAGCGCACGGCCCGGUUCGAUCCGUUCUAACAACUUAAUUGUUCGCCGCCUCCAUCGUUGCGUUCGGAGGGUGGGAGGGGACUGUACGAUAGAGGUGUGGAGGGGAUGGAAUGUUCGAUGGUCUCUCCAAGGUACAAAGUACUUGAAAUGAAUGACUCUCUGGGCUGAGCGUUUGGGUACAGCGUUUAACAUCCUUUACUGUUGUAUUGUGCGUAAUUUUUUUUUACGUACGAAGAGGCACCCCCGGUGGAUGGAGGCUCGGGUUCGGUUUGGAGGAAAAUAUUUGAAGAAAUUAUUUACCUGCUAAUUCCCAAAUCCUGUCCAGCAACAGCACCCCUGGGCUCUCAAGCACCAUUCUCGGUGACUUCACAGUAAGUACCCAGCGGAUCGGAAUUCAACGGUCUUGUCUUUGGCAGCGUCCCACGAUGCUAAACGAUGUUGUUUGAACGGUUGGCGGAAAAACAAACGUUUGCCUUCCGUGAAGGCGGACGGAUGUGCUCUAGACAGGGUGAUCUCGCUCGCUCACACAGCCUGUGGCUCUUCAACCAUUCGGGUGUCCCAGUGCCGAAAAAGGACCUUUUCCAUUGGUGGCUCAGGUGGCGGCUACUUCGAACCUCUGAUUAAGCUCUUUCGGAGGUUUUAAUGAUGGAAGAAAUAAAUCAACCCCAGAGCUGCUGCCGACACCGCUAGGAAGAGUGCAAGGAUUCCUGUCGGCACACAACCUGCUCACUCACCGUUCCAGGAAGAUCGCUCUGAUCUUUGGUGUGGAAUCUUCCACUACACCGCUAGUGUGUGAAGAUGAGUGUCGAGAUGUACAUUAAUAUUUUCCCUUUUUUAUUUUCAAUUUUUCAAAAGGACUCAAUCGAAACAAUAAAAGGCCCCCUUUGCUUGUUGUC